ensembl:snRNA U1 U1 spliceosomal RNA
AUACUUGCCUGGCAGGGAGAUGCCACGAUCACGCAGGUGGUUUUCCCAGGGCGAGGCUCAUCCAUUGCACUUGGGAUGUGCUGACCCCUGCGAUUUCCCCAAAUGUGGGAAACUCGACUGCAUAAUGUGUGGCAGUUGGGGACUGCGUUCGCGCGCUCCCCUG